rnacentral:rRNA from 1 species
AGCGGAGGAAAAGAAACCAACAGGGAUUGCCUCAGUAACGGCGAGUGAAGCGGCAAAAGCUCAAAUUUGAAACCCUCGGGAUUGUAAUUUGAAGAUUUGGCAUUGGAGAAAGCUAACCCAAGUUGCUUGGAAUAGUACGUCAUAGAGGGUGACAACCCCGUCUGGCUAACCGUUCUCCAUGUAUUGCCUUAUCAAAGAGUCGAGUUGUUUGGGAAUGCAGCUCAAAGUGGGUGGUAAACUCCAUCUAAAGCUAAAUACUGGUGAGAGACCGAUAGCGAACAAGUACUGUGAAGGAAAGGUGAAAAGAACUUUGAAAAGAGAGUGAAAUAGUAUGUGAAAUUGUUGAUAGGGAAGGAAAUGAGUGGAGAGUGGCCGAGGUUUCAGCCGCCCCUCGUGGGCGGUGUACUGCCGACGCCGAGUCAUCGAUAGCGAGACGAGGGUUACAAAUGGGAGCGCCUUUCGGGCGUUCUCCCCUAACCCUCCACACUGCCACCGACGACAUAAUCCACCCAUUUCACCCGUCUU